rnacentral:rRNA from 1 species
UACCCGCUGAACUUAAGCAUAUCAAUAAGCGGAGGAAAAGAAACCAACAGGGAUUGCCCUAGUAACGGCGAGUGAAGCGGCAACAGCUCAAAUUUGAAAUCUGGCUCUCGGGCCCGAGUUGUAAUUUGUAGAGGAUGCUUUUGAUGCGGUGCCUUCCGAGUUCCCUGGAACGGGACGCCAUAGAGGGUGAGAGCCCCGUCUGGUUGGAUGCCAAAUCUCUGUAAAGCUCCUUCGACGAGUCGAGUAGUUUGGGAAUGCUGCUCUAAAUGGGAGGUAUAUGUCUUCUAAAGCUAAAUACCGGCCAGAGACCGAUAGCGCACAAGUAGAGUGAUCGAAAGAUGAAAAGCACUUUGAAAAGAGAGUUAAAAAGUACGUGAAAUUGUUGAAAGGGAAGCGUUUAUGACCAGACUUGGGCUUGGUUAAUCAUCUGGGGUUCUCCCCAGUGCACUUUUCCAGUCCAGGCCAGCAUCAGUUUUCGCCGGGGGAUAAAGGCUUCGGGAAUGUGGCUCCCUCCGGGGAGUGUUAUAGCCCGUUGCGUAAUACCCUGGCGGGGACUGAGGUUCGCGCAUCUGCAAGGAUGCUGGCGUAAUGGUCAUCAACGACCCGUCU